GGUCGCAUGGCUUAUAUGGCAAAGCGCCUGAUUAGUAAGCAGGAGAUCACGAGUUCGAGUCUCGUUGGGAUCU
rfam:Daphnia magna strain Xinb3 contig18135, whole genome shotgun sequence.